rnacentral:rRNA from 1 species
AGUGAACGCUGGCGGUAGGCCUAACACAUGCAAGUCGAACGGCAGCACAGUAAGAGCUUGCUCUUACGGGUGGCGAGUGGCGGACGGGUGAGGAAUACAUCGGAAUCUACUUUUUCGUGGGGGAUAACGUAGGGAAACUUACGCUAAUACCGCAUACGACCUACGGGUGAAAGCAGGGGAUCUUCGGACCUUGCGCGAUUGAAUGAGCCGAUGUCGGAUUAGCUAGUUGGCGGGGUAAAGGCCCACCAAGGCGACGAUCCGUAGCUGGUCUGAGAGGAUGAUCAGCCACACUGGAACUGAGACACGGUCCAGACUCCUACGGGAGGCAGCAGUGGGGAAUAUUGGACAGUGGGCGCAAGCCUGAUCCAGCCAUACCGCGUGGGUGAAGAAGGCCUUCGGGUUGUAAAGCCCUUUUGUUGGGAAAGAAAAGCAGCAGGUUAAUACCCCGCUGUUCUGACGGUACCCAAAGAAUAGCACCGGCUAACUUCGUG